GUAGCGCACCACCUACUUUGCCUGCCGCAAAUAAAAUGAAGAAGACGACCAAUAAGCGGGGAAGCGGGUGGCUAAGAAGCAUGCCACCUCAGAAACCUUUAAAGAGUACAAGAAUCUUAACAAACUGCAGGAGAAGGUUCCAGAGUCUCCUAUACCACCACAUUAGCAGUCAGAUAAGCACCAGCUCACAGCUCAAGCCCACCUCUCAACCUUCAGACAGUUGGGAGUGGAGAAACUGAAUGGUGUUUAGGUAAAUCUUGUUUCGAAUACAUUUUUGUUGUUCCUUUAGGCCAUCUCCACACCUAGCUGGGUAUUUAAAAAAAUAUUUAGAGAUUAAAGAGAUUUUUCUAAUUCUGUCCACAAGACCGACAUUUUAAAAAUAUCUUUGUCCACAUGAAAAACAAACAAAACGCCCUGUUAAGUGCUGUUAAGAGCAUCCCUAAUCAACAGGGGGCCGAUCAGAAGCCUAGAUAAAAGGUUGUGCUUUGUAGAAGUCCAACAGGACUGUGUCAUCAGAGUUUUGUAUGUAGCAGUAGUAAAGCUGACGUCAAAUUAGGGAGACUAGCACACAGACAAUGACAUCAUUGCCACACAAGGUGAUGUUACAACAAGCCAAAAUCUUCAUUUCCCCUGUCCACAUAACACAACUAAAAACAAAGUUUUAAAAAACCUUAACUUUGGAAUAGUUUUUAAAAUGACUCCGCUUUUAAUGACCAAAACUUUGUUUGCAUGUGGAUGAAAGGCCGAAACUGCAGGUAAAAAUCUCUGUUUUAAAAAUACACAGUUACAGUAUGUGUAGACAUGGCUUUAGAUACUAAGCAACUCCAGGACCUGCAGUCUUUGGACAAACUUGUUGGACAUCCACCAACAAGAAGACUGAUGUAGUGAGAAAAAACAUGCAGGCAUUUACCUGUUCCUGUCCCCCCUUACAUACAGCAAGCAACUAAUUUUCCCCUAAAAAAUUUUUCAUCUCCUUUUUGACUGAUUCUUUUCACUGGUAGAUUGUAACAAUGCUGUGGCCUUUUUUAUAACUCCUGUAUAACUCAUAUUUGGGAUAAGCAGGUGUGACAUAAUACCUUUCUCAAGUUGUGUGACAUUGUGUAUCACUAUCAUUUAGUGUCUUGAUUUGCCAGAUUUUUCUGAUGUCUGUUAUAUUGUGUGAAUUACUCAAUAUAAUUGUUUAUUGUAUUUUAUUUUUACAUACGGGCUGGAUCUACAAACUAUUGGUAAUAUUAAACUGUAAUAUUUUUAAUAUUGUUAACCUGCUGGUUUUAAAGAGGUGGACAGGUCAGUAUGCACACUGGUCUCAGGUGUUGCUAGUUGUGGCUCAUCACUGUACG